ensembl:lncRNA
CUCCGUUCUGGCGUUUUCUAUUUUUUUCACCUUUUUAUCACAUGACAUUCAUGCAAUGAGCUGCAGGAUGACUUACACCUGAUGCUGCGCAGUAAGGGACACGGCGAUGAGCUCAAGUCAAACGGCGUACGGAUGGAAGAUAAACCUUUAAACCCCCGACGCGGGUCAUACUGAGCGCCGUGGCCUCUGAUCCGCCACCCGACAGCCGGGCGAGAUCCUCCCCAAGGCACAUUUCAGAGUUUCUGUCCGAUGCCCUUCAUGACCACACCGCCGUGCUGCUGUGCUGUCAUGUCAGCUGAUGGACGGGCGGCGCUUUGACGAGGUUGAGCGGUGAAGGAAACUAAAACAAGGCAGAAAGGCUGCUGAGGUCAGAAGAAGCCUCACUACAUACUAUAACGUUUUAUGUUAAACAUGAUCAUUUCAUCCACAAAAAUAUUGAUUAGCGAAGCUUUAAAGCUGCACAGGAAACAGUUAUUUGGAAUAUUAUUAUGUUAUUUGAAACACUGACAUCUCUUUUUUCCAUUCAUACGUAUACAUAUCUCAGAUUCCAUCUAAACUCAACUGCUGGUGGACUAUUUCUAGAAGUAUGCGCAUUGUGUCUGGAGCAGCUGAUCUAUUUGUCACAGCGGCGCACACGGAGGCAGCAGUGUUAUCUUGUGCUGGCUGAGCUGCUCCAGCUCCAUGGAAACAAGAUGCUCGCUCCACUCCGGGGACUAAAAAUACUAAAACCUCCCUCCGUCCACCAGG